CGGAGCAGAUCCCAUGCAUUCGCUGUGCACAUCUCUUGCCACCAUAACAUAUGCUGGCCUGAUCCCAGUCAGUAUCCGCAGCAACAUUUUGCCUGAGAGCUUUUCCUGGUGGCCUGAACCUUUUGUGCCCACCAGUGAGAAAAGGAGAUUGUUGGAAGAUUAAUCCCCGAGGGGAAUUCCUUGACCAGUGACUGAUGGGAGAGAUUGGCAAUUCCUCUAGCUAUCUAGCAUCUCAGAAGUGUACUAUCCACUGACUUGCCUCUUUCCUGGGAAGAUUCAUUUGCAGCUGCUCACUGUGGUAACCUGUUUGAUAAUGCACCCUCUUUUUGGCUAUAUUCACAUCCUGGUUUCACAUGCCAUCUCUGCUUCUGGUAGGUACUGGGAUCAUUAUCUUGAUAAACUGCUUGUAUUUGAAUCUUGCCUCAGGGUCAUCUUUUGAAAAUACCCAGAUUAAACAUUUGCAAAGCUCUUGGUGGUUUUGUCUCUGUAUAACUCUCUACCAUCUCUCUUCCCAGUGUGGCUCCUAGGUCCCUUUUCCCCAGUCCAAAUCCCACUGGUCUGAACAUGAGCUUUUUCCCACACAGUCGUACCCUACAUCACCUUUUCAGAUUUUGUGCAUGUUAUCUCUGCCUGCAGCAUGUAUUGUUUUCCCCUGGGAUGAGCUACAUGCUUGUGUCUAAAUGUGGUUGAUAAACUCUGUGACAGCAGUGGCUGUGAAUGUCUGAAGCAGGCACCACUCAUAU
rnacentral:lncRNA from 1 species